ensembl:lncRNA
CAAAUGGUCAAUCUGCAGUUGAUUCAGAAGCCCUGCGCACCAGGGCUGCAUUCCCAACACGAAUUAAAUUAUGAGGCGUUUCAGGUCCGAAGAGAAAAUAAUUGUACGCUCGCAGACCCCGUUAAAAACGAGGGCUGAGGGGCUUACGUUGCAAACUUCCCUUGCUUGGCUAAUCAUUUGGACCGACGACAAAUAUGGCCGCGGGGAUUCCCCCAAGGGCUGAGGGUUUAGGCUCGAGGGCUGUCUACUUUGAGUUUGAAACGCAGCACAGGUAGGUAAAAGUGUAUCUAUUUGGAACCAUUCAAUUUGUCUGAAAACACAAACUCGCCCUAUCAGGCGAACCGGCAGAUCUGUGGUUAAAUCGAGUGCGCCUACUGUGCUGGCCAAUUGGAUUGCUCAAAUCACCGUGCCAACAGCUUCGAAGACCCGGCAACAGCGAAGUUUGAUUUCAUGACUUUUAAAAACAUGACCAGAGAGACUGUCAAAUAAUACAGCAAAUAGCUGCUGUUUUUAUGAAUGCGGCUCGAGUUUCGCCAUCAGGUGGAAGACGGUGUCCGCUCUUUGCUCAGUCUAACGGGGGGAGAGGAACCGAAGGAGAGAGCAGUGACCGUCAGAGGUGGACCCUCUGCUUGCUGUCUCCCUACCUCCGCUGAGACUAAUGCCGUGUUCAAAACUGGGCAUUUUUAAAUCACCUACUUCAGUGCGUUUAAGACAACUGGGUUCUCGGGAGAGAAAAAAACUAGAUCAGACUGGGAAUAAAUAGUUUUGAACGGUCAUCCAACUCGGAAUUUCAAGACGGAAACACAGGCAUCUUUUCUAGAGCUCCGACUUUCCGACCUGAAUAUCGCUGAUGUCAUGAUUUGAACUCGUUUUUCUCCCCAGUUCUCAGUUGUCUUGAAAGCACCAUGAUCAUGACGCAAGAUACAUCAGUCCGGUAAAAUAAAAAAAUGGUCUGAGAAGAAGAACAUCGCUGGCAUAUAUAGCCAAUAUGCUGUGUUAAUCUGUUAGACCUACUGCACAAACCUAAUUCCUACAGAAUUGAUUGAGUUUGAGUUUAUUUUUAAAGGGACAGUGCACAUUAAUCAACGUUUCAGUAAAAGUGCCGGUUUUAGUCAGCCGGCUAAUUUCAACGGCAGUCCCUGGGCAGGUAAAAACAAUUACAAUAUAGACAAUCAUUGAGCAGUGAGCACACGCAGAGCAACAUAGGACAAGCAAGACAUAGCAUACACACAGAGCAACAUAGGACAAGCAAGACAUAGCAUACACACAGAGCAACAUAGGACAAGCAAGACAUAGCA